CCGGCCAGAGCUGGUGGCCGGCACCCACCACGGCGGCCGGGCGCUGUGCUGAGCCUCCCUGGGCACCACAGAGACCCAGCGUGCCUGCAGGAAAAGGAGCUACAACAGCACAGCCUGGGACUCCCAUGCCAUGUAUGUGAGGCUGAUGUUCAUCCCCAGACAACACAAAUAGUGACUACAGGAAAACUAUGAGGCACAUCAACGUCAGAGAAGACCAGUAUUUACCUCCAAUAUCGGGAGCACAACUCGCUUGUGUUAAACAUCAUCAACACAGACACCUUGUUCCAACUUCAUUUUUUCUACCCCAUGCUCUGGAGGUUAUAGAUCUGUGAGAACUUUCCGUCUUCUCCCUCUCAUGCUUGUCUUUUUCCCCCAAAUCUUGUAUAAUUUGUAUUUAUGAUUCUGAGUAUCACUUGUUACCAGUACCCAGCUGUUCUAGAAUACAUUUAUUUUUACCUUACAAACAAAAAAAAAAUCAGCACUAAAGUGGCAUCUCUACCCCAACUGAAUACUACUGUUACUCAUUUAUAGAUACCAAGCUUCUGUUGACUUCUGAAAUUUCAAGUGAUUGCUCAGAACUACCUCCCCCACAUCCUUCAAUCUGUAACAGAAUAAGCCACAUCACUUUGCUGUUUGCUUUGACAUUUAUUAGGCUUGGAACUAGAAGAAAUCUGCCUUUAAAUAUGCUUUUUUCCCUAAUCCAUACUUGGGGCUGAACUGAGCAGACUUAGUUUUGUGAAAUGAGAUGAUAAUGCACUUCUCAGCUUUAAUGAAUAAUUCCUCACUUUGGGAGACAAAUAGUAUUACCUGCGCACAAGAUUUGAACUCUAGCUGUUUCCUUUGUAAGACUUUUUAUUGUAUUACACAGCCUGGCAUGAGUAUAAUUAACUUUUCUUUUUGCGUGCUCUGAUCGCACCCUGCAACAGACCGCAUGGCACUUCUGAACCCACUGUUGGAAACAGGAUGCCUCUACUGUUCCCGCCGCAGGGGCUGCUCAGGCCGAGCAGCCUCGGGGAGCGUCCUGGAGGGCCGAGCACCCACGGAAACAAAGGCAUGUCACUGGCUGGGAGAGCUUUCCGAUAUACCUGUUUAUCUUUUGGGGCUUUUUAACAGAAACCGUAAAACUUUUUUACAGAGACUGUAAAGAUGUAAAAGAAACAUUCAUUUUUCCCCUCUCAGGAAAAGAUGCUGUGAAUUUACACUUGUGUUUAAAAUUUAAUCCAGAUCAAUAAAAAAAUCCACAAAUCAAUAAAAAAUCAAUAAAAAAGUAUCCCAUCAUGGUUUUACAUUUGCCUGACCUUCAUGACUUUACCUGUCAUUAUAUAAAGCAGCAGUGGUAUAGAUGUACUGCUCAGAUAACUUCAGCAUUGGUUGCACAGAGACCUUGGUAGUCUCUGGGAAGGAAUAUUGUAAUGGAUCAUUUGUUGCUUUUCCUGUUUCUGUUCCAUCACAAAGAAAUACACGAGGCUGUUUCCUCUCUGUACGUUUACAUCAGUAUGCUGCGCAUGUUCAAAGCGGUUGGUUCGGUCACAAAGUUUUCUGUACAAAUUCCUCACUGCCCAGAUUUCUCUUAAAUAACUUCAGUAGGCCACCAUCUGCACAAAUGAUCUUUUCCAUGCACAGAGCUACCUUGAAAAAAAAAUUAAAACAAAA